GUUGGCCCGAGUCACAAACGAGGGGAUACACUGGUCCCUGGCUCCCCAAGGGAGGGGCUGCUGAGCUUUGGGAGACCUCAUGAAAAUCCAGCUUAAGGCCAUCAAAAGACAAAAUGACAACACAUUUAGUUAUAGAUCAAAUUGGCUUCUAUUCAUGAUUCGUGAAUCUGGACAGUCUCCAUUCUACAAAAUGGAGUGAGAGCUCCCACCAGGCAGUGGCGGAGCAGGGGGUUCGUAAGGCAGAAAGGAGGAAACAGAAAAAUAGGAAACACCAAACCGCCUAAUACCGGAUCGCUGCAGACUGCUUUUUUCUAAGCGGACUGCUUUUUUCUAAGGGAGAUUCUUACAAAGGGUGAGAGAGGCACAGGCGUGGUUUGCCUUUGACCACUGGCAGAAGUCUGAAGGUGAGAGUAGAAUGGAGAAGGACCCAGGAGAGUGCGGAGUUGAGGGAGAUAAAUAUUUGCAGGCUACUUAGCAAAACACCCAGAGCUGACCUUUGUCAAGUACUUUCUGUGGGCACAACAGCAAAUGUUUUAUGCAGCGUGAUGUCAUUUAAUCCUCACAAUGACACCAGGUGCCAUUAGCAUCCCCAUUUCACAGAUGAGGAAACCGAGGCAGAGAAGGUGAGUGACUUGCCCAAGGUCCCACAACCAGUAAGAGGCAGAGCCCGGAGACAGGCCUGAUGGUGGCUCGAGAAGCUCGUUCUUGGCUCCUGGGUCUCAGUCC
rnacentral:lncRNA from 1 species